UACAGAGGGCUCAAGCGUUGUUCGGACUCAUUGGGCGUAAAGGGUGCGUAGGUGGCGCUGUAAGUCGGGUGUGAAAUUUCGGAGCUUAACUCCGAAACUGCAUUCGAUACUGCGGUGCUUGAGGACUGGAGAGGAGACUGGAAUUCAUGGUGUAGCAGUGAAAUGCGUAGAGAUCAUGAGGAAGACCAGUGGCGAAGGCGGGUCUCUGGACAGUUCCUGACACUGAGGCACGAAGGCCAGGGGAGCAAACGGG
rnacentral:rRNA from 1 species